rnacentral:rRNA from 1 species
GAUGAACGCUGGCGGCGUGCCUAAUACAUGCAAGUCGAGCGGACGGACGAGAUUCUUGCUUCACUGAUGUUAGCGACGGACGGGUGACUAAUACGUGGCUAACCUAUCUAUUUGACUGGGAUAAAUUCGAGUAACCGUAGUUAAUACCGGAUAAUCUUUUUGACUGGAUGGGUCUGAAGUGUAAGACGGUCUUGCUGUCACUUCUAGAUGGAUCCGCGCUUCAUUAGCUAGUUGGUCAGGUAACGGCUUACCAAGGCAGCGGUGCAUAGCCGAGCUGAGCGGGUGUACCCCCACACGGGGACUGAGAGGCGGUCCAGACUCUGACGGGAGGCAGCGGUAGCUAAGCGUGCGCGAUGGGCGGAAUCCUGACGGAGCGGUGCCGGGUGGGUGAUGAAGGUCUUCGUACCGUAUGACGCUGUUAUGAUUGAAGACCAUAUGUGUUAGUAACGGAGCUCAGCGUGACGGUACUUAGUCAAAAAGCCCCGGCUAACUACGUG